rnacentral:lncRNA from 1 species
CUCUGGAGAUUAUGGUGGAUGGUGAAAAAGUACCAUUCUAUGGAGAAACUUUAGAAGUAAGUCCAUGAAGUUGUCAUUUUGCCUCUAAAUGUGACCUCUUAGUGUCCUACCCGUGAUAAUUUAUUGUCACUCACAACUUUUCAGUAGAAGUCAUAUAUAGUGUAGAGUAAAUGUUGUUGGCCAAGUGACCUCUUAGUAUCCUACCCGUGAUAAUUUAUUGUCACUCGCAACUUUUCUGUAGAAGCUAUAUAUAGUAUCAGAGUAAACGUUGUUGGCCAAGCGAUCGUCAAGUCUAAUACACCCAGUUUCUUGUGUUGGUCUUCAAAAUUACCAUAGACCGGUUACUGUGGUGAGAAAUGCCACUUGUCCCAAUGCGUUAGCUAUUGGCAUGGACUAGCACUCGGUGAAAAGAAACACAUUUCAUCUUCCACAGCAUUAAACUCUCCUAAAUUGGAAACACCAACCACAGGCUUACUCAAUCAAGAAUAUUAUCCACUGUAGUAAACUUGACAAAAUGCCCUUGAUAACACUUCACAAAGAUUUCAUAUUUUCCUGAUUAUGUUUGCCUUUGUUAUGAAUUCACUUUGCUCCAUAGUCUAUACAUUCCUACUUAUUCCUUUCGUAUUUAACAAUGUUUUC